GCGUCCGUAGCCGGCCGGAAAAGUUCUCCGUUAAAUCCAACGAUCCAAUCGUUGGGCCGCGGGGAAUACUCUUCGGCUUGGGGGCGAGGGAGGUCGGCGGUAGUCUCGGGGUAAGGGCGAAAUCCUAUAAUCCCGAGAGGACCACCGGUGGCGAAGGCGGCCGACUAAAGCGCGCCCGACGGUGAGGGACGAAAGCUGGGGGAGCGAACGGGAUUAGAUACCCCGGUAGUCCCAGCUGUAAACGAUGCAGGCUAGGUGUUGGGACGGCCACGAGCUGUCCCAGUGCCGCAGGGAAGCCAUUAAGCCUGCCACCUGGGGAGUACGGUCGCAAGGCUGAAUUCUCUUUGAGCAUUCGCUCGAGAGACA
rnacentral:rRNA from 1 species